AACUCAGAGAAAUUUGAGCUAAUAUCGGAUGAGGCAUUUCGAUGUCAAAGGAGCAAUCUGGAUAAGGAGGGGCCUGCGUCUGAUUAGCUAGUUGGUAGGGUAAUAGCUUACCAAGGCGACGAUCAGUAGCUGGUCUGAGAGGAUGAUCAGCCACACUGGAACUAAGACACGGUCCAGACUCCUACGGGAGGCAGCAGUGAGGAAUAUUGGUCAAUGGACGAAAGUCUGAACCAGCGACGCCGCGUGUGGGACGAAGGAGCUUUGCUCUGUAAACCACUGUCGGAAGGGAAAAAAAGAAGUACGAACUUCUGGGAUUGUACCUUCAAAGGAAGGAUCGGCUAACUACGUGCCAGCAGCCGCGGUAAUACGUAGGAUCCAAGCGUUGUCCGGAUUUACUGGGUGUAAAGGGUGCGUAGGCGGACUCGUGCGUUAGGGGUUAAAUGCUUCGGCUCAACCGAAGAAAUGCCUUUAAUACGGCGAGUCUUGAGUGCGAGAGAGGAUAGUAGAAUUCCUGGUGUAGCGGUGAAAUGCGUAGAUAUCAGGAGGAAUACCAGUGGCGAAGGCGGCUAUCUGGCUCGUAACUGACGCUGAGGCACGAAAGCGUGGGGAGCAAACAGGAUUAGAUACCCUGGUAGUCCACGCCUUAAACGAUG
rnacentral:rRNA from 1 species